CCUUUAUUUGUUACACUAUUUGAAAUAUUUAUAUUUUUUUGACAUAUUUGUUUUCGUGGAAAAAGUUUGGAUAAUGUUAUAAAUUUAAUUUAAGUAUUUAAAUAAAUAUGUUUGCAUCAUCAUGUGUUUAGAAUUAUAGAAUUGUACGUAUGUGGGUUGUUAAUGAGUAUUGUGAUUGAAAUGAUUUAGAAUUGUAGAAUUGGGCACCAUGAAACGGAAGGAGCGUUGGUGGAUGUAUGAUAGAUAUGAUAAUGGGCAUAACUUGAGGCCCGAGUUCUUGAGGGGGGUUGAUGAAUUCAUUGAAUUUUGCAAAGCAAAUCCUGAAAGCCCAGGUUUGGAUGAAGUUAGAUGCCCGUGUCUGAAAUGCAAGAACAGACGUAUGCAUAACGCAGACACGGUUAAAGUGCAUGUGUAUAAAAAGGGAUUUAUACCUGAUUACUACGAUUGGUAUUCUCAUGGUGAAGAGUUACCUCGAUCCGCACAUGAGCCAUCUAAUCCAUACCGUGAAAUGAUUUUCGAUGCUCUUGGGAAUAACCCAGAACCGUCCAAUGUUGAAGAGCCUAGUGGAAUGGACGAGGAGCCUAAUCCUCAAGCAAAGGUGUUUCUUGACCUAUUAAAGGCUUCUGAGGAACCAUUGUACGAAGGGAGCUCCAUGUCCGUGUUGGAAAUGGCAUCUAGAAUUGUAUCUUUGAAGUGUGAGUACAAUUUGCCACAUAGGUGUGUUGAUGCGUUUGCUUCAUUAGUGAAAGAAGCAAUACCUAACAACAACAACAUGAGUAACACAUUUUACGAUACGAAGAAGAUUUUGGAGGGAUUAGAGCUUCCCCACGAGAGGAUUCAUGCGUGCCCCAAAGGUUGUAUGUUAUUUUGGAGAACUGAUGCACACUUGGACAGAUGUAGAGUGUGCGAUAGCGACAGAUACAAAAGGACUUCUAAAGGGUCUUUAGUUCCAAUGAAAGUUCUCAUUUAUUUUCCACUCACACCGAGAUUGCAAAGGUUGUAUGCAACAAAAAAUGUUGCUGAAGAAAUGACAUGGCAUGCCAAAAAUCCAAGAGCCGAAGACAAAAUGGCUCACCCUAGCGACAGUGAAGCUUGGAAGCAUUUGGAUAGAUCCUUUGACGAAUUUGCAUCUGAGCCUAGGAAUGUUCGGCUCGGUUUGUGUACCGAUGGGUUUGGUCCACAUGGAAAGUUUGGGGGUCAGUAUUCAUGUUGGCCGGUCAUCUUAACCCCGUACAACUUGCCGCCAUCGAUGUGCAUGAAGAAACCCUUCAUGUUUCUUUCGUUGCUCGUUCCUGGUCCUAAAAAUCCGAAGGGAAACUUGGAUGUGUACAUGCAACCCUUAAUCGAGGAAUUGAAGCAAUUAUGGGAUGUUGGAGCAACAACUUAUGAUAUUUCUAGGAAACAAAAUUUUAAUAUGCGUGCUGCCAUUCUUUGGACAAUAAGUGAUUUUCCUGCAUACGGUAUGCUAUCUGGCUGGGCUACAGCUGGGAAAAAGGCAUGUCCUUAUUGUUUGGACAAAUCUAAAGCUUUUUGGCUCGACCAUGGGGGUAAAGUUUCUUGGUUUGAUUGUCACCGUCAAUUCCUACCCUAGAUCAUCCUUUUCGUAACAACAAAGUAGCUUUUUGCAGAAAUAAGGUUGAAAAAGGGUCUCCGCCACACAUCAUGUCUGGGGAAGAGUUGUGGUCUUGUGUUAAAGACUUGCCAAAGGCUACAGAUGGGCCAGAAGCACUUAAUACUUUGAAAAAGUUAAAAAAGGGUGGUUCAAACAAAGUUGUCUUUGGGAGCUCCCAUACUGGAAAACUCUCCAUCUUCGUAACAAUCUUGACGUCAUGCACAUUGAGAAAAACUUUUUCGACCAACUAAUUCACACAAUUAUGGAUGUGAAAAAACAGACAUCAGACACUGUUGCAUCCAGAAAAGACAUUGCUAAAUUGUGUAAAAGGCCUCAACUUCAUGUUACCAAGGAUGUGAACGGAAAAGAAACUCCACCAAAAGCGCCUUUCGCACUGGACAUAGCCCAAAGGAAAGUAUUAUGCAACUGGGUGAGAGAUUUAAAAUUUCCCGAUGGUUAUGCUUCCGACUUAACAAGAUGUGUGGACAUGCAGUCCGGUAAGCUGCACAGUAUGAAAAGUCAUGACUGUCAUGUUUUCAUGGAAAGAUUAUUACCGAUAGCAUUAAAGGAGUUGCUCCCGGUUCAUGUGUGGAAAGCGAGAUCAGCCUCUUUUUUCGUGAUUUGUGUUGCUCCACCAUCACAGUAAGUGACAUGGAAAAAUUGGAAAAGAACAUAGCCGAGAUCCUUUGUAAACUUGAAAAGAUUUUCCCACCAUCAUUCUUCAAUUCCAUGGAACACUUACCGGUUCAUCUUCCACGCGAAGCUAGGCUAUGUGGUCCCGUACAAUACCGUUGGAUGUAUCCCUUUGAAAGGUUCGUUAAUCAUUUAAAACGCAAAAUUGGUAAUAAGGCUCGUGUGGAGGGUUCCAUUUGUAAUGCGUACUUGUGUGAAGAGAUUGCAAACUUUUGUUCCAACUAUUUUCAGCAAGGAGUGGAUACUAAGACACGAGAUUUAGGCCGUAAUGUCACUAAUGAAGUUGAUAGGAUGCUCGACGAAAAUGUCCCAGAACUAUUUAGAGUUGAUUGUGGUCGGCCGUCAAAUGCAGGUGGAAAAGGAGAAAUCUCCGCGGCACAACAUGCUAAAAAGAUGGCAAAGAGUAAAGGAGGAGUACUCCCUACCGCCCCCGAGUUGUUCUUGAAGACUCAUUUCAAAACUGUUGCUGGAAAAGGAGAAAUCGCAGCAAACAAGAAAGCAAAACAAAUCUCGGAGACAUACAACAAGAAGCUGGAUGAUUGUACCACUCAGGGGUCACAGCCGAACCCAGAUUUGUUGUAUUGGGAGACAGUGGGUGGGAGGAACAGAGGUAAAGUGCAGGGGUUGGGUCAGGGAGAUUAUUUGUACUACAACUCUACAUCGGGGCGAGGAGAUGGCUCUUCACAACCAUAUGCGCCGUCGAUUUAUUCUCAGCUUGAGGCGCAAGUGGAGGCAAAGGUCGCUGCACGGAUGGAAGAAGCGGAGGCAAGGUUCGCAGCACGGCUGGAAGAGUCAAAUCGGGCCCUCGUCCAAGAAAUGAUGCGGAACAUGUCUAAUUUCGGCCACUUGUUCUCUGGUUGCAACACAGGACCCUCUCCACAACGCAGACCAGACGAUGACCCAGGGUCUGCUGGUGGCACUGGUGCUACUGAGACACCCACGACAGUGUAGUUUUUUUGGUUUUGGCAACUAGAUUACUAACUUAUAGUGUAUAUUUCUUUGUAUAUAUCUAGCUUUGAUUUUAGUUGUGUAGGUAUACAUUUUGGAACUCGAUUUUCCGACAGCGGUAUCUAUUUUGCGUACAUAUAACUAAUCUAGGUAGUUUGUCUAAUUAUAGACAUUUAUAACUUAUUCCCCGACAUCUGGAUGCAUUUUGUGUACAUAAAUCUAAUCCAUUUUGAUGUUUAAAUUACA